rnacentral:rRNA from 1 species
GACGAACGCUGGCGGCGUGCCUAAUACAUGCAAGUAGAACGCUGAAGGAGGAGCUUGCUUCUCUGGAUGAGUUGCGAACGGGUGAGUAACGCGUAGGUAACCUGCCUGGUAGCGGGGGAUAACUAUUGGAAACGAUAGCUAAUACCGCAUAAGAGUAGAUGUUGCAUGACAUUUACUUAAAAGGUGCAAUUGCAUCACCACCAGAUGGACCUGCGUUGUAUUAGCUAGUUGGUGAGGUAACGGCUCACCAAGGCAACGAUACAUAGCCGACCUGAGAGGGGGAUCGGCCACACUGGGACUGAGACACGGCCCAGACUCCUACGGGAGGCAGCAGUAGGGAAUCUUCGGCAAUGGACGGAAGUCUGACCGAGCAACGCCGCGUGAGUGAAGAAGGUUUUCGGAUCGUAAAGCUCUGUUGUAAGAGAAGAACGAGUGUGAGAGUGGAAAGUUCACACUGUGACGGUAUCUUACCAGAAAGGGACGGCUAACUACGUG